AUGGCUGGCCCCAACCUUUACCAAGUUACUAGUGGGGAGAAAACAUAUGUUGUUAACCUAGCACAUAGGACUUGUGGGUGUAAGAAGUGGGAUAUGAUAGCAAUUCCUUGCAAUCAUGAUGUUUCUGAUAUACACAAGGCUAAGCUUCGGCCAGAGGACUUUGUUCAUGAUUUCUUCAAAAAAUCUAUGUACCUAGCAGCUUACAGUCCUAUAAUAUAUCUUGUACCUGGCCCUGACAUGUGGCCAAGGACAGAUAGUUUGGACAUUGAGCCUCCUGUUUUCAAAGAACACAAGGGCAGUGCACAGACUAAGAGGAGAAAGGGCCAAUUUGAGAAGCCAGCUCCCAAAGACACUUCAAGGAUGGCCUCAAUUACCUGCUCCAACUGUAAUAAGGUGGGCCAUAGGUACACCAAUUGCCAAGAUGCUUUGAAGCCUGCACUGGCUAUGAGAAAUAACAAACAUCAGGUAACCACUAUGCUAAUAGUAGGACUAUAA
rnacentral:rRNA from 1 species